rnacentral:rRNA from 1 species
UACGGAGGGGGCUAGCGUUGUCCGAAGUUACUGGGCGUAAAGGGCUCGUAGGCGGCCAACUAAGUCAUACGUGAAAUCCCUCGGCUUAACCGGGGAACUGCGUCUGAUACUGGAUGGCUUGAGUUCGGGAGAGGGAUGCGGAAUUCCAGGUGUAGCGGUGAAAUGCGUAGAUAUCUGGAGGAACACCGGUGGCGAAGGCGGCAUCCUGGACCGAUACUGACGCUGAGGAGCGAAAGCCAGGGGAGCAAACGGG